rnacentral:rRNA from 1 species
UGGGGAAUCUUGCGCAAUGCGCGAAAGCGUGACGCAGCAACGCCGCGUGAGGGAAGACGGCCUUAGGGUUGUAAACCUCUUUCAGUUGGGACGAAGGUCGGCACGUUAAUAGCGUGUCCGACUGACGGUACCUUCACAAGAAGCCCCGGCUAACUACGUGCCAGCAGCCGCGGUAAUACGUAGGGGGCAAGCGUUGUCCGGAAUUAUUGGGCGUAAAGAGCGUGUAGGCGGUCCGGUAAGUCAGCUGUGAAAGUCAAGGGCUCAACCCUUGAAAGCCGGUUGAUACUGUCGGGCUAGAGUCCGGAAGAGGCGAGUGGAAUUCCCGGUGUAGCGGUGAAAUGCGCAGAUAUCGGGAGGAACACCAAUGGCGAAGGCAGCUCGCUGGGACGGUACUGACGCUGAGACGCGAAAGCGUGGGGAGCAAACAGGAUUAGAUACCCUGGUAGUCCACGCCGUAAACGAUGGGCACUAGGUGUUGGGGGUGUCGACUCCCCCGGCGCCGUAGCUAACGCAUUAA